rnacentral:misc_RNA from 1 species
GAUGAAGAACGCAGCAAAAUGCGAUAAGUAAUGUGGAUUGCAGAAUUCAGUGAAUCAUCGAAUCUUUGAACGCACAUUGCGCCCGCCAGUAUUCUGGCGGGCAUGCCUGUUCGAGCGUCAUUUCAACCCUCAAGCACAGCUUGGUGUUGGGACUCGCGUUAAUUCGCGUUCCUCAAAUUGAUUGGCGGUCACGUCGAGCUUCCAUAGCGUAGUAGUAAAACCCUCGUUACUGGUAAUCGUCGCGGCCACGCCGUUAAACCCCAACUUCUGAAUGUUGACCUCGGAUCAGGUAGGAAUACCCGCUGAACUUAAGCAUAUCAAUAAGCGGAGGA